GAUGAACGCUGGCGGCAUGCCUAACACAUGCAAGUCGAUCGGUAAGGCUCUUCGGAGUACACGAGAGGCGGACGGCUGAGUAACGCGUAGGAACACACCCUGCAGUGAGGGAUAAGACACCGAAAGGUGUUCUAAUACCGCAUACGGUCUUCGGAUUAAAGCAUUUAUGCGCUGAAGGAGUGGCCUGCGUCAUAUUAGAUAGUUGGUGAGGUAAUGGCUCACCAAGUCGAUGAUGUGUAGCUGGUCUGAGAGGAUGAUCAGCCAGACUGGAACUGAGACACGGUCCAGACUACUACGGGAGGCAGCAGUGAGGAAUAUUUCACAAUGAGCGAAAGCUUGAUGGAGCAAUGCCGCGUGCAGGAUGAAGGCCCUCGGGUUGUAAACUGCUUUUAUAAGAGAAGAUUAUGACGGUAACUUAUGAAUAAGAGACGGCUAACUACGUG
rnacentral:rRNA from 1 species